UACAACAUAGCGUUAAUGCAUCGGAUCUCAUUAAAACUCCGCAGUUAAGUGUGCUCAUGCUAGAGUAGUAUUAGGAUGGGUGACUACCCAAGAAGUCCUAGUGUUUUAC
rnacentral:rRNA from 1 species